rnacentral:rRNA from 1 species
GACGAACGCUGGCGGCGUGCUUAACACAUGCAAGUCGAACGGUGAAGCGCCUUCCUUUUUGGUGGGUGUGGAUGAGUGGCGAACGGGUGAGUAACACGUGAGUAACCUGCCCCCUUCUUCUGGAUAACCGCAUGAAAGUGUGGCUAAUACGGGAUAUUCUGGGUCUGUCGCAUGAUGGGUCUGGGAAAGAUAUUGUUUCGGUGGGGGAUGGGCUCGCGGCCUAUCAGCUUGUUGGUGGGGUGAUGGCCUACCAAGGCGGUGACGGGUAGCCGGCCUGAGAGGGGAGGGGGUACGACUGGGGCAGUGACGCAGCAGGGGCGGAGGCGCGGCGGAGCGGUGUGGCGUGUGGGACGGGGGGCGCGGGCGUGAGCACGUCGCGCGCCGGGGGGGAUGGAGGCCUUCGGGUGGGGGUGGGCUGUCGUUAGUGAAACAGGCAGCGCCCGUGUGUGGGGGGCUUGAAGGCAGCUGAAGAGAACGGAACCGCUCUUUUUCGU